rnacentral:rRNA from 1 species
UAUUAGAAAUAUAGUCUUAAAGAAAACUGAUAUAUAAUUAUUAAUUAUAAAUAUAUAAGUAUAUAAAGGAACUAUUAUGGAAUUUAAGCUAUGUAUUAAAGAGAAUUAGUUAUAUAAAUAAGAUAAAGAUCUUAUAAGUAUAUAAACUCUAAGAGAAAUCUAAUACUAAACGAAGUGGAAUUGAAAUAUCUUAGUAACUUCAGGAAAAGAAAUCAAAAGAGAUUCUAUGAAUAGCGUGAGCGGAAGUAGAGGAGCCUAAAAAGUAGAACGGUAUCAAAACUGUUUAAACAUUGGGGAACUUCCUCAAAGGCUAAAUAUAAUACAUCAGCGAUAGUGAAAAGUACCAUGGGGAACAAAAACAAAAAUAGUAGUUUUAAUAAGCAGUUCGAUAAAAAGAACGUACCUUUUGCAUAAUGGGUCACCAAGUUAACAUUAGAUGCGAGCUGUAUUAGCAUGCGUAGUCAAACCGAACGUUAAAAUAACGAAUAAGUGUCUAAAGUUAGACCCGAAGCCAGGUGAUUUUACCAUAGUCAGGAUUAUAAAAGUCCGAACGGGUGAUUGUAGCAAAAAUCUCCGAAGAACUGUGGUAGGUGUAGUGAAAGACAACACUGACUUGGAUAGCUGGUUUUCUGCGAAACCUAUAAUAGUAGGCAAUUUAAAUAAACAUCUUAGCAGGUACAGAAUUUAAUCUCAGACAAGGCGUUUUAUACGUUUUAUAUUGUACAAAUUGGGGGACCAUGAAGGUUUUAUCAGUGAGUAUGUAGACUCGGAAUGGCAAAGAUGUAUUUUGAAUGAUCAGACAUAGAAUGAUAAGGUUGUAUGUCGAAAGGGAAACAGCCCAGAACAAGAGUUAAGGUUCCUAAAUUAUUAGUUGAGUGAAAUUAAGAAGGUUUUUAUUAAAGUCGACAAGGAGAUAGGCUUAGAAGCAGCCAUAAUUUUAUGACCUCGUAACAGAGCGCUUGUUAAGUUAUAAAAGCAUCGAAAAUAUAACGGAUCUAAACAAUAUACCGAAACCUUGUCCAUUAUAUAUUAUAAUAUUAUUAUUAUUAUAAUUCAAUGGGGUAGCAGAACGUUGAGCUAAAUUAUGAGUUUUAUUUUUUAAAUAGAAUGAUAACGAUUUAACUCAAGUGAGAAUGGUGACAUGAGUAACUAAAAGAAAAUUUUCCGCCUUAAGCUUAUGGAUAUAUUUAAGUAACGGCCUCUAAGUUUAUAUUAUCUAAAGAUUUAAACGAUGAGAAAAUCUUUUUUACUAAGGACGACAUUUUAGUGUAAAAUGUACUGGAAAAAUAGUAAAUAUAUUUAUAGUUAGCUUAGCUUCUAUAAAUGAAGAAUAACCGUACCUAGAAUCUGAAACAAGUAAGCUAGUAGAGAAUACGAAGGCGUAAAUGAGCUAACAAUCAUAAAGGAACUCGGCAAAUUGACUACCGUAACUUCGGAAUAAGGAGGGCUCAUUAUUCUUGAUUAAUAUCAAGUAAAGAGGAAGAAGCAUGAAAUAAUGUUGUACGACUGUUUAAUUAAAACACAGCACUCUGCUGAAAGAUUAAAAAUCUAAGUAUAGAGUGUGAUAUCUGCCCGGUGCCGGCUGGUUAACAGAGAUAAUUGAAUAUACUACUAUUUGAUGUCGACGGAAACCCCGGUUAAAGGCGGCCUUAACGUGAGGGUCCUAAGGUAGCGAAAUGCCUUGGCCGUUAAAUGCGGUCUUGCAUGAAUGGUGUAACGAUACAACAGCUGUCUCUAUGAUUGACUCAGUGAAAUUGGAAUAGCAGUGCAGAUACUGCUUAACUCUAGUUAGACGAGAAGACCCUAUGCAGCUUUACUGUCACUAAUUAUAGAUUAUGAUAGACAAUUUUCAGAUUAUAAGGUAAUUGAUUUAUGACAAUGAGAAACCUUUAUUUUUCUUUCAUAUGAAUGAAUUGGUUUAGGAGUAUAAGUAGAUUGUAAUUUAUGUGGCUUUACUGAGCCAAUUUGUUAAAUUAUAGUCUGUAUGCUUAUACUAGUAGAUCAGCCUAAUUCAACUUAUUAUAUUUAUUAUAGUAAGUACCCUUUGGUAAGGAACUAUCGCUAGGGGACAGUUUAUGUGGGGCACAGACCCUGUAAAGAGUAAACAGGAGUGUCUAAAAAUUUAUAAAUAUUUUGUUUGCUAUUUUGAAUAGUUUAACUAUUCUUAAUCAUAUACAAUUAAUUAUAUUUGCAUUUAUUGUAAAUAUAGUUAAGAUUAGGUAGGAUUUUCACUAUAUAGAAAUUAGAGAUAAUAAAGAUAUUAUGGAAACUCUUCUAAUAUCUUUUAGCUAUCUUUUAGAUAGUUAUGUUUACAAUAUCUAAAAAGCUCAACGGCUUAAUCCUGCCUUACUGUUUGAUUAUCUACAAAUCUUACAGUUGCGUAAGCAGGGCAUAGGAUCACAAGAUGCAACAAGGAAAGAUCUUGGAUUAUUGUAAAAGUUACGCUAGGGAUGAACAGGCUAAUUUGCGCAAGAGUGUACAAAAUGAGUGCGCGGUUUGGCACCUCGAUGUCGGCUUAACUUAUCCUCAUGGACGCAGGAACUAUGUAGGGUGCGACUGUUCGUCGAUUAAAGAGUUACAUGAGCUGGGUUAAAUACGACGUGAGACAGUAUGGUUUCUAUCCUCUAGGGGGAAUUAGAAUAAAAUAAGAACUAACUUUUGUACGCAAGGAACAAGAAGAGUUUAACAUUGUUAGACUAUGGUUACUAACCUAUGGUUUACCUGUUGUUUAUGUGCCCAAAUAUUAAAUAUAUAUACUUUUGUAUAUAUAUCUGUAUUAUUUCGAUAAUACAUAGGGAUGUAUCUUUCACCUAAGAUAAUGUAUAGCCAUAAACACGGCAGGAAAGCUAAGUUGGUUAAGGAUAAGUGCUGAAAGCAUAAUAGGCACGAAGCUUAUCUUAAGAUAUUUCUUAAAUAUACGUAGCAUAAUACUACGAAUUUAUAGGCUUUAUCCGUAAGAAUCUAGAGAUUUUAAAGAUUAAAGUACUAAUUUAAUAAUUUACUAUUUAUACAUAUAUCAA